GGCCGUGUAGUGUCUUAACACGUUAGAUUGCAAAUCUGAAGAAGUAGGCUAAUCGCCUGCCAGGGCUU
rnacentral:tRNA from 1 species